GAUGAACGCUGGCGGCGUGCCUAAUACAUGCAAGUCGAGCGAACAGACGAGGAGCUUGCUCCUCUGACGUUAGCGGCGGACGGGUGAGUAACACGUGGAUAACCUACCUAUAAGACUGGGAUAACUUCGGGAAACCGGAGCUAAUACCGGAUAAUAUAUUGAACCGCAUGGUUCAAUAGUGAAAGACGGUUUUGCUGUCACUUAUAGAUGGAUCCGCGCCGCAUUAGCUAGUUGGUAAGGUAACGGCUUACCAAGGCGACGAUGCGUAGCCGACCUGAGAGGGUGAUCGGCCACACAGGACCUGAGACAGGGUCCAGACUCCUACGGGAGGCAGCAGUAGGGAAUCUUCCGCAAUGGGCGAAAGCCUGACGGAGCAACGCCGCGUGAGUGAUGAAGGUCUUCGGAUCGUAAAACUCUGUUAUUAGGGAAGAACAAAUGUGUAAGUAACUAUGCACGUCUUGACGGUACCUAAUCAGAAAGCCACGGCUAACUACGUG
rnacentral:rRNA from 1 species